rnacentral:piRNA from 1 species
UAACAAAGUGGUGACUCCAAUUGCAGC